UGGGCAACCUGCCCUCAGCUCUGGGACAACUCCGGGAAACCGGGGCUAAUACCGGAUAUGACCAUUCCUGGCAUCUGGGGUGGUGGAAAGUUUUUCGGCUGAGGAUGGGCUCGCGGCCUAUCAGCUUGUUGGUGGGGUUACGGCCCACCAAGGCGACGACGGGUAGCCGGCCUGAGAGGGUGACCGGCCACACUGGGACUGAGACACGGCCCAGACUCCUACGGGAGGCA
rnacentral:rRNA from 1 species